UGGGGAAUAUUGCACAAUGGGCGCAAGCCUGAUGCAGCCAUGCCGCGUGCAUGAAGAAGGCCUUCGGGUUGUAAAGUACUUUCAGCGGGGAGGAAGGCGAUAAGGUUAAUAACCUUGUCGAUUGACGUUACCCGCAGAAGAAGCACCGGCUAACUCCGUGCCAGCAGCCGCGGUAAUACGGAGGGUGCAAGCGUUAAUCGGAAUUACUGAGCGUAAAGCGCACGCAGGCGGUCUGUCAAGUCGGAUGUGAAAUCCCCGGGCUCAACCUGGGAACUGCAUUCGAAACUGGCAGGCUAGAGUCUUGUAGAGGGGGGUAGAAUUCCAGGUGUAGCGGUGAAAUGCGUAGAGAUCUGGAGGAAUACCGGUGGCGAAGGCGGCCCCCUGGACAAAGACUGACGCUCAGGUGCGAAAGCGUGGGGAGCAAACA
rnacentral:rRNA from 1 species